UACGAAGGGGGCUAGCGUUGCUCGGAAUCACUGGGCGUAAAGCGCGCGUAGGUGGCUUCGUAAGUCCGUUGUGAAAGUCAAAGGCUCAACCUUUGAAAGCCGAUGGAUACUGUGAAGCUAGAGUACGGAAGAGGCGAGUGGAAUUCCUGGUGUAGCGGUGGAAUGCGCAGAUAUCAGGAAGAACACCAAUGGCGAAAGCAGCUUUCUGGGACGGUACUGACGCUGAGACGCGAAAGCGUGGGGAGCGAACAGG
rnacentral:rRNA from 1 species